UAGAUCCCAGACAUCGGCGGACAUGGGUCCGGCCGCGCCGACCUACCAGCGUCGAUCCUGUACGCGUUUACAGCAGGAGGUAGCGGUCUCAUUUGAUACGGCUUUUCUCAAACUCUCGUUACUCUCUGUAUGUCCUUAUCUUGUAGCCUAGCAGAGACCUUUGUACCACGUCGUAUCAUUUUACUUCCAUGGAUAAUGCUGACCUAGAUUGAUAAUACACGUAGUGGAUACCACUGGCCUCGGCGGUAGGCACAUAAGCCAUUGAAUGACGGACGAUGCACUGGUGCGAAGGGAGGAGGGAAAGACUGUCAUAAUUAAUUGUGGCGCAGGGGUAAACCCUUGAAUAGAAAUUGUGUGCCUUUCGUUUCUAUCCAUCCGCGGCAUUAAAACUAACACGAUACUUUUUCUCCAUCCGUUCUACGCUCUCAUUGCUACCCUCGCUAAUGGCCUACAUACUGCGGGACAUGGCGAGGCCGCGAGUCUCCUGCCUUCACCAUGGCUGGCCGACACGACAUUAGAAGUCUGCAGCCGAGCCCGGCUCCCAACGAGUACAACACCCGGCAGAUGACCAAUAAAGGCAGGGACGUGGCACCGGCGCGCACGAUGGCCGGCCGGGCGGGCCGUCGACCGAGGUCACCCCGGCGCCCGGCGAGUACACGGUCGACGUGCGAGCUCUGGCGGCCGCCUCGCCGCGCGUACACCUUCGGCCAGCGGCUGGACGCCAAACGGGCCAGCAGUGCGCCCAGGUGAGAGAGGGGCGUACCCUCACUGUGAGAGGGAGGAGGGCGGUCCCUGUAAGCUAGGGGGAGAGGUGUCCCCCUGAGAGGGAGGAGGGAUGGGGAGGGUCGAUAGGCAACGUGUCAGUCUAACGUUAACAUAUCGGAUAUGAGGAGUUAAACGUGUCGCGACAGCGAGUAAUCGGAUUGACGUUGUUCGCACUUCGCAGAGAAAAUCCGGAACACGUCAGGCGCUGUGCUGUAUUAUGAAAUUAUCCCAAUGCCCUCUGAUUGGUCAAGUAGCUAGCUCAUUUAUACCUCAACUGAGCGGCAUGGUUCCAGCACUUGAUCUUUGAUCUAAUUAAACUCGCACUUGACCCAUCAAGCACGCAGUGAGAGUCUCCAUUGACUACUGUAUUUAUUCCAAAACGCCUCCACUGUACCGUACCCGCCAUGGCCUACCAAACCAGUGAAACUCAGCGACAGUCCUCUCUCACCCCUCCCCUCUUCCCUCGACAGCGCCAAACUCCUACACGGUCCGGGAGCGACUGGGAGACGCGCCUCGCUACACAAUCCAGGGGCGCGGCCGGGACCGGAGCGACGAGCGGGCCUCGUUCCCCGCGCCCGGCCAGUACGACUCGGGCCGGGUGUCGGCCUGUCAGCCGCGCAGCCCAGCCUUCUCGCUGAGACAGCGAACCGUGCCGCCGUCCGACCACAGUCAGAAACCCGGCCCGGCCGCCUACACACUGCAGGACGCGGCGGUGGCGCGGCGUCCGCCCCAGUUCUCGUUCGGCCUCAAACACUCGCCGUACCUCGGCAAGUUCCGCUCCACCUCCAAGGAGGACGUCACCGUCAUCAAAUAGCCACUGGGCGUCGCUACAGUCCGCGCACAGCCGGCACUGACCAUCGCCAGCACAAUAACGAAGCAGGGAUGUGAUACUUAGGAAAACGUCGCACCUGGCACCAUCGUCUCUGCUGCACUUGCACAGCACACGUCAAAGACUAUGUGUCGUUUUGACAAAUUCAUGGAGCAGUCAGUUUCAGCGCCAGUGGUGUUUAAAGAAGUGACACAUGGAUUAGCGAAGAAAUAGCGUAUAGCUAAUGCUUUUACGUUCGCAUGCUUUGCUUAGUAAUGUGUUAUCCGUCGAGUUCGAGUGUUUUCUAUCAGUAUUUUUACGUCCUGCAGUGAUAUUCCAUCGGCCGAUGCAUUCGAGUGAUGUCAGGUUUGGCCAGUCUGAACCAGUAGCCUGUUACCGGUAUUAUUGUACGAAAUGUGCGAAAGAUGCGCCGCUGUAUCUGUUUUCCCUUCUCACUUUCCGUCGUAAUGCCCACUUCUUUUGAAUAAAUAACCAAAUACACAUAUCACUCCGCUAUCAAAGUCCUCACGAUCUCGUAGGGCGAAACCGUCGCUCAUUGGAGCACCCCACAGCCUGGCACUUGAAAUAAGGUUUAGUUCUGCGAUGACGAUGCAGAUUCUUCGCAAUAAUAAACGAACGCAGUGGCCUUG